UGGCCUCGUAAAGAGAAUAUCAGUAAAUCCAUAUUACAGACUUUGGUUAUAUCUAGGUUAGGAAUCCCUUAUGAAGAUUGCUUUUACUUGGAUGAAUGCUAUCAUCUCAAUGUUGAAGGAUCCGGAUAAAGCAUUUGGAUGGGUGCUUGAAAUGUAUUCUUAUGUCAUUCCAUCAGCUUCUCAUGUUGUUCAUAACAUAUUAUUCAAGGAAUAGAGCAUUGGUGCUG